rnacentral:lncRNA from 1 species
AUGCUAGUAAACAAAUACGUGUUCAAAAACCAUAUUAAUACAUCGUUUUUUAUAAAGAAUGUUUUGUUACAUUUAACUGCUGAAAAUGCUUUUAGAGGCCAUUUCCUUAGUACGUUACAUCAGAGUUCAGCAUGUGGGAGAGGUUGGCGCGCAAGGAUGAUAGACGAGUUUCCCAUCAGUAAUUACGAGUUAGAGGGGCGUUCAAGUGGAUGCUUCACAGUCGUAUGUGGUAAAUACCACCUUCCAACUUGUCACAAACGCAACAUUACCAAAUCGUAUGUCAUAGCAAUCUGGUGCCCGACGGCGCAGUCGAUGAUGUGUCCAUCUGUCUCUCCAUGAUAGCUUAUUGGACAGAGGUACAGCUCAGGUGAGUAUGUGGGUGUGUUGUGUGUGGCUGUGUGUGUGUGUUUCUUAGAUUGUGUGUGUAACGCUGACGCCCCUGACGCCCAGUGACAGUGGAAGGAGAGGUGAGGGGAGGCAGCCAGUGAUGGACGGGUAUCAGGAGGGAUUAGUGGUAAAGGUAGGCAGGCGUGUUCUCUCUCUGUCUAGGCGGAUUUCAAUCUGUCUCUUUCUCUCUCUGCAGUUACACAGCACCGACCCUGUUUGAACUGCUAGUGCCUCAUCUCAUCUCCCUCCAAACAACUGACUGCUGUCAUCUUCCAUGGCUCUGUAAUAUUUGUGUGUGUGUGUGUCUGUGUGGGUGUCAGUUUAUCGCCCUCUGUCCGUGUGUGUGUGUUUGUCUGUGAGAGAAAGUGAUUCAGUUUCUCUUUCCCUGCGAUGCCACUGCUGCCUAAGGAGGCAGAACGAUUCGAUGGGCUAUCUCUACUUUAUUGGUAUGUCCAUCUUUCUCAUUUUCAUCCUCUGUUGCUUAAUUAAUCAUCCUCUUCCUCACUCUUUUAAAGUCCCAGUGCAGUCAAAAACGUGAUUUCCCAGUUUUUUAUAGAUAUACAUUUCUACACUAUGAGGUUGGAAUAAUACUGUGAAAUUGUGAAAAUGAUCAUAAUGCCCUUUCAGCUUAAAAACGGUUUGAAAAGACCACCUGCAAUUUCAGCCUGUUUUGGUGGGAGGGAGUUUUGGCCUUCCUGGUGACAUCACCAGUGGCAAAUUAGCUAAUUAACCAAUAAGAAAGAGUUGAAAACCUCUCUGCCAAUAACAGCUAGUUUUCAGUUUUCUCCUCCCCACUCAGACCACUCCCAGACAGCCCUAGCAAAAUUAUUGCUUGAGAAAUUGCAUAGACAACAUUUUUCUGUUAUAAAGCUAAUUUCCUGCAAUUCUGCACAUUUUGUCAUGGGGCGGAGAGAACAUUUUACAGUUUAAAGCUAGUUUUCUGCAAUUCCACAUAUUUUGCC